rnacentral:sRNA from 1 species
GAUAUAAGGGCCAAAAGUAAAAAUUGCGAUUGUGCUUGCACAAAAGAGCACUUUUUACUUAUUGGCGCGACCACACAUGAGCAAGUAGUGAUUUUCCUUAGAAAAUCCACGGAUUGCGAAUGUGUGUAGAAUUGCGUAAGUUGCAUUGCAACGAGGCAAUUCGU